rnacentral:lncRNA from 1 species
AUUACUGUAUUUAUAGUUCCAAACUUCCAUUUGGUCUCACUUUAUAGCUUCUUUUUAUUUAUUGAGACUUUCUAAUUCUUGGAUUAUUUCAAGCAUGUUCAUAAAUACUCACUGAAGCAUUUUUAUGAUAACUGCUUUAAGCUCCGUGUCAGAUAAUGCUAACAUCUGUGCCAUCUCAUUAUCAUCAUUAUUUUUUUACUCAAAUUGAUAUUUUCUUGGGUCUGGUAUGAUGUUCUUGUGUCAUGAAUUUUUUAUUGAAACCUGGACAUUUUUAGUAGUAUGUAAUGAAACUGUGGGGUUUUAAAAAAAUCUAUUUUAGCAGACCUCCUCUGACAGCAUGCCAGUGGAAGAAAGGGUACACUACCUCAUUACUGUCAAGUUAAGGUUCCCCACUGGGCCACUACUGACACCCCAGUGUUGAACAGCUCCUCGUUACUGCUAUGUGGGGGUGGGAGUUCAGGCAUACCACUAGAUUUCUUCUGAUACUACUGGGGAUGCAAGGGACAUGUGUUUCUGUCUGGCUGGGGUGAAAGUCUGAGCUCCAUACUUAGCCUACUUUGACACUACCAUGGUGAUGAAUGGGAGAGAGGUUAUUUGCUACAGCAUGAUGAAAGUGGGAAUCCAGGCUCUCCACUUUGCCUUUGCUGGCUGGGGUGGUGCUGGGACCAUGGUUUUUUCCAUGGUGUUUGACUGAAAUAGAAUGGUUAUUAAGGAGAAGUUUUCUAUCUUUCUAGGCUGACCCUUUCAUGAUUCUUUGGCUAGAGAGGGAAAUAUUUUCAUUGGCUUUUUAUGUCAGUUCCCAUUGGUAUGUUUGGGUUUCUGGCUUCUCCAGCACCACAUUUGGGAUACAUAGGCAAAAAAGAAACUCACCUCAAGUGAGUCACCCCUCAGGUUCUGAGGUUCCUAGCUGGUCUGACUUAUCUCCACCUUUCAGAGUCUUAUUAUAUUUGUUUUAUAUAUAAUAUUCAGCAUUUUUAUCUGUUGUUCAUAGGAGAAAUAGGGAAAAAUCAGUCCCAGAAAUUUCAGUGGACUUUGAGGUAACUCUGAAUUCCUUAAAGGAGUCACACUGUAUUCUGUGUGUAUUACUGGAUCUGAAGCUCUCCACUGUUUUAAUCCUGACCUUCUUUGGAUCUUUGAUUUCCUUCUGGUAUGACAGCCCCUAAUUAUAUUGACCAAUGAUUGUGAAGAAAGAACUUAGUUGACUAGAAGAAGAUUUAAGGUAAGCUUGUUUGUAGCCCCUGUGCUCUGUCAACAUAAUAUUUAAAGUACUCCUGGAGUUCACUAGUUAUAACUAUUUACAGAGCUAAUGAACUAGAACUAGCUUUGCCUAGAACUUGACUUUCCCUGAAAGUGGCUGUCCUUGCCUUCCAGGCCCAGCCUGGUUGACAGAUGAGUCCUAACCUUGGAGGGACCUGGCUUGGAUUCUUGAAGCUGUUCAGCAUUCAGGAAGGUGUCCUGGCUUAGGUGAGGACUUAUUGGGAUCAGGAAAUUUAGAGCCUACCAAACAAUGUGGUACCAAGUGCUGGGGGCUGCUAGAUGACUAAGCUCCCUUGCAGAUAAAAGGAAUAUCUUACCUGGGGGCGGGGAAGUGAGGAGGAAGGUAAUGGCCAUGAUUACUGAGAGUUAUAUACAGAACAAAUCCACCUCACUGAGGUGUGUGGGCAGAAGUUUAGGAAUGUUCUCCACUUUUCCUUUCCACAGGUGCUGCCUUAGGAGUUUCCCUACCUUUAAUUGCAUGGUAUUUGCUACUUUUUCCCAUCCCCUCUCUGAGGCUUAGCAAAGCACUGGAUGUCUAAAAAAGAGGGGCACUUUGAGCUAGCAAUGUUGACCACUUAGACACACAAAUCCUUUCCCAUAAAAGCAGGG